rnacentral:rRNA from 1 species
CCUACGGGUGGCAGCAGUGAGGAAUAUUGGUCAAUGGACGCAAGUCUGAACCAGCCAUGUCGCGUGAAGGAUGACUGCCCUAUGAGUUGUAAACUUCUUUUGUACGAGAGUAAAAGGAGACACGUGUACCUGUCUGCAAGUAUUUUACGAAUAAGGAUCGGCUAACUCCGUGCCAGCAGCCGCGGUAAUACGGAGGAUUCAAGCGUUAUCCGGAUUUAUUGGGUUUAAAGGGUGCGUAGGCGGUCGGAUAAGUUAGUGGUGAAAUUCCGAGGCUCAACUGCGGAAUUGCAUCUGAUACUGUUAGUCUAGAGUGUAGUUGAGGUAGGCGGAAUGUGUGGUGUAGCGGUGAAAUGCUUAGAGAUCACAAAGAACACCGAUUGCGAAGGCAGCUUACUAAGCU